AAUUUCCGCGAAUUGAGGAUACCUGUCAUAACUGGAACCAUUGAGUGGAAUGAUAACCAUCUCUUCCUGGGAUAUCCUAAGCUUAGGUGCUCGCAAAAUAUAGCGAAGAUCUGCAGCUUGUCGUUGGAUAUUGAGAUUGGGCUGCUGCUUCUCCAAUUGCUGGUAAAGAGCAAUGCAGUUUGUGAUCGAAAUAUGGUGAAGUGUGCCUAGAAGACGUCGUUAUUGGUCAUCAGAAAUCCAAUCUCAAAGUGAGCCUUGGAUUGAUUGAGUGCGGCUUCAAGAAAGUCAAUGGCUCAUGCGUACAUGCCCUUUGUCAGUCAAUGAAAUAAAGACGACACUUUUUUUCAAAGACGAUCGAUUUUGUAUGGAUAAAGAAGGAACCUUUUCGAGCUCUUUUCUCACUCUCAUCUUCUUCUCUACUUCAUCCUCCUAUCUAUCCUCACUUUCGCUAUCCUCCACUUUGUUUAGCAACUCCUCGGCCUUCUUCUCUAACUCUCUCAUCUCCUCAAUCACCUUCACUCUCGUUCUCCCAAUCAAAUUCCUCUUCUUCCCCUACUCCAUUCCCAUUCCCAUUCCCGUUCUCUUCAUCGCUAUCGAAAUCCACGCCAUUCACUUUUGAAUUCGCUUUUCCUCUAGCCACCACUCGCUGUCUCCUAGCUUCGCCGUCCGAUUUGAAGCUCUUAUCUGCCAGAGAAGUAGCGUAGGAUUGAGGAUCCCUCAUCGGAAGCUUCAAAACAAAGUCUACAACUACCGGUUGGGUCUUCCGAUCCUGAAUUACAGGCCAAGGUGAGGCCAAGGCUAGAAAUAAAGCUAAAUUUCCAACAACCCCGGCCAUGUUGGCGUUGCCGGGGAACAGACGAAGAGAGAGGAUAAG
rnacentral:misc_RNA from 1 species